UAAUUGUAAUAACUUGUAUUUUGCAUGAACGUUUGAAUUUGAUUUAGGUGCAUUUCACAAUAAUUUCUAUCAAGAAAAGCUAAAUGUGAAUAAAUUCAAGCGUAGUUUAAGUGUAAUAUAAACUUUGCUACUAGGAAUAGACGUUAUCGUAAGCCAAAAGUGCAGUUUUAACGUUAACCACCCAGUAAAUAAUAUUUUUUGUCGAUAGAUCUUUGGCCCUUACCUAGGAUUUAAUUGUUUAUCUUGUAAAAUGUCGGACAACUUUAUACCCCUAAAUCAAAGUACACCUGUACACGACAGAUGGAACAAUAGAAAUCAAAAUCACAGUGGCUAUCAAAACGGAUGGCAACAAAAUAGCAAUAGGAAUCGAAACCGCCAAAAGUGGGGAAACAAUAAUUCAAGAAGAAAUAGCAGUUUUGGAAGUGAAAGCAAUAGCAGUUAUGGCAGAGAUAACAGAAGCAAUAUUGAUGCUUAUCUACAUCCCUCUAUGUUGCAAGACCCGUGGGCACAUCUAAGAAAAAAUGAAUAGAUAAUAAUAAAUUAGUUGUUAAUCAUUUGAAAGAUAAGUAGUUAAAUUAAUUCUAUCAACAGCUUUUGUUGUUUAUGAAAUUGCAGUUGAAUGGAGUAGCAGUUUGUUGUCUAUGAAAUUCUAACUUUGAUAAACUAUUGAGUGUAUAGAAAUAGAAAAUCCACAUUAACAUUUCCUAUUUGCUAUUCAAAAUCUUACCAUAGUUAUUACUUAUUAAUUCUCACAAAAUUCUUGGUGAUUUCAUCAGAUUUAAUCAUUAAUCUACUGUUAUAUGUAGUUGUAAUACCUAAAUUAGCUAUUAUUAAAAAUGGGUUACUGUCAUACCAUGUAAAUAAUGAUAAAUGCUUAAUUUAUGUAUCAUUGUAGUUUAAGAGGAUUCACCCCUGUUAAGUGGUGGAGUGAUGGUGUGUAAGUCGUACAAUAAAAUUUUU